GGGUGUGUAGCUCAGUGGUAGAGCACAUGCAUAGCCUGUGGGAGGCCUUGGGUUCAAUUCCCAGAACACACA
rnacentral:tRNA from 1 species